rnacentral:rRNA from 1 species
UACGGAGGGAGCUAGCGUUGUUCGGAAUUACUGGGCGUAAAGCGCGCGUAGGCGGCUUUGUAAGUUAGAGGUGAAAGCCCGGGGCUCAACCCCGGAACUGCCUUUAAAACUGCAUCGCUUGAAUCCGGGAGAGGUGAGUGGAAUUUACGGUGUAGCGGUGAAAUGCGUAGAUAUCGUAAGGAAGACCAGUGGCGAAGGCGGGUCUCUGGACAGUUCCUGACGCUGAGGCACGAAGGUCAGGGGAGCAAACGGG